rnacentral:rRNA from 1 species
AGUGAACGCUGGCGGUAGGCCUAACACAUGCCAGUCGAACGGCAGCACAGUAAGAGCUUGCUCUUACGGGUGGCGAGUGGCGGACGGGUGAGGAAUACAUCGGAAUCUACUUUUUCGUGGGGGCUAACGUAGGGAAACUUACGCUAAUACCGCAUACGACCUACGGGUGAAAGCAGGGGAUCUUCGGACCUUGCGCGAUUGAAUGAGCCGAUGUCGGAUUAGCUAGUUGGCGGGGUAAAGGCCCACCAAGGCGACGAUCCGUAGCUGGUCUGAGAGGAUGAUCAGCCACACUGGAACUGAGACACGGUACAGACUCCUACGGGAGGCAGCAGUGGGGAAUAUUGGAAAAUGGGCGCAAGCCUGAUCCAGCCAUACCGCGUGGGUGAAGAAGGCCUUCGGGUUGUAAAGCCCUUUUGUUGGGAAAGAAAAGCAGCAGGUUAAUACCCCGCUGUUCUGACGGUACCCAAAGAAUAAGCACCGGCUAACUUCGUG